rnacentral:lncRNA from 1 species
AUAACAUAAUGGUAACAAUAGUAUUGGUAAAAAUAAUUGUGAUUAUAAAAAUUAUAGCAGUAAUAGUGGCAAUAAGAUCAAUAGUAGUGGCAAUAAUCCUGAUAAUAAAAUAAUGAUGUGACAAUAACAAUAGUAAUAACUAUCUCAACAAUAAUAAUAAAUGUAACAUGGGGUUGAUAAUGGUGGUGAAACUAGUGAUUCCAAUAGUGAGAGUGACAACAAUGGUGCUAGUGGCUUCAAAUAAUGUAUAACUAUUUUGGCCUAAAGAACACAUGGUCAAGGUAGUAAUGGAAAAGCAAAUAAGCAAUUACAAAAAUGAAGUAAUGUUAU